CAGUAGCCGCGGUAAUACGGAGGGUGCAAGCGUUAAUCGGAAUUACUGGGCGUAAAGCGCACGCAGGCGGUCUGGCAAGUCAGAUGUGAAAUCCCCGGGCUUAACCUGGGAACUGCAUUUGAAACUGUCAGGCUAGAGUCUUGUAGAGGGGGGUAGAAUUCCAGGUGUAGCGGUGAAAUGCGUAGAGAUCUGGAGGAAUACCGGUGGCGAAGGCGGCCCCCUGGACAAAGACUGACGCUCAGGUGCGAAAGCGUGGGGAGCAAACAGGAUUAGAUACCCCAGUAGUCCCUGUCUCUUAUAC
rnacentral:rRNA from 1 species